UACAGAGGUGGCAAGCGUUGUUCGGAAUUACUGGGCGUAAAGGGCGCGUAGGCGGCCAUCUAAGUCAGACGUGAAAUCCCCCCGGCUUAACCUGGGAACUGCGUCUGAUACUGGACGGCUCGAGUUUGGGAGAGGGAUGUGGAAUUCCAGGUGUAGCGGUGAAAUGCGUAGAUAUCUGGAGGAACACCGGUGGCGAAGGCGGCAUCCUGGACCAACACUGACGCUGAGGCGCGAAAGCGUGGGUAGCAAAC
rnacentral:rRNA from 1 species